UACGGAGGGUGCAAGCGUUAUCCGGAUUCACUGGGUUUAAAGGGUGCGUAGGAGGGUAGGUAAGUCAGUGGUGAAAUCUUCGAGCUUAACUCGGAAACUGCCGUUGAUACUAUCUAUCUUGAAUACCGUGGAGGUGAGCGGAAUAUGUCAUGUAGCGGUGAAAUGCUUAGAUAUGACAUAGAACACCAAUUGCGAAGGCAGCUCGCUACACGAAUAUUGACUCUGAGGCACGAAGGCGUGGGGAUCAAACAGG
rnacentral:rRNA from 1 species